GAUGAACGCUGGCGGCGUGCCUAAUACAUGCAAGUCGAGCGAACGGACGAGAAGCUUGCUUCUCUGAUGUUAGCGGCGGACGGGUGAGUAACACGUGGAUAACCUACCUAUAAGACUGGGAUAACUUCGGGAAACCGGAGCUAAUACCGGAUAAUAUUUUGAACCGCAUGGUUCAAAAGUGAAAGACGGUCUUGCUGUCACUUAUAGAUGGAUCCGCGCUGCAUUAGCUAGUUGGUAAGGUAACGGCUUACCAAGGCAACGAUGCAUAGCCGACCUGAGAGGGUGAUCGGCCACACUGGAACUGAGACACGGUCCAGACUCCUACGGGAGGCAGCAGUAGGGAAUCUUCCGCAAUGGGCGAAAGCCUGACGGAGCAACGCCGCGUGAGUGAUGAAGGUCUUCGGAUCGUAAAACUCUGUUAUUAGGGAAGAACAUAUGUGUAUGUAACUGUGCACAUCUUGACGGUACCUAAUCAGAAAGCCACGGCUAACUACGUGCCAGCAGCCGCGGUAAUACGUAGGUGGCAAGCGUUAUCCGGAAUUAUUGGGCGUAAAGCGCGCGUAGGCGGUUUUUUAAGUCUGAUGUGAAAGCCCACGGCUCAACCGUGGAGGGUCAUUGGAAACUGGAAAACUUGAGUGCAGAAGAGGAGAGUGGAAUUCCAUGUGUAGCGGUGAAAUGCGCAGAGAUAUGGAGGAACACCAGUGGCGAAGGCGACUUUCUGGUCUGUAACUGACGCUGAUGUGCGAAAGCGUGGGGAUCAAACAGGAUUAGAUACCCUGGUAGUCCACGCCGUAAUCGAUGAGUGCUAAGUGUUAGGGGGUUUCCGCCCCUUAGUGCUGCAGCUAACGCAUUAAGCACUCCGCCUGGGGAGUACGACCGCAAGGUUGAAACUCAAAGGAAUUGACGGGGACCCGCACAAGCGGUGGAGCAUGUGGUUUAAUUCGAAGCAACGCGAAGAACCUUACCAAAUCUUGACAUCCUUUGACAACUCUAGAGAUAGAGCCUUCCCCUUCGGGGGACAAAGUGACAGGUGGUGCAUGGUUGUCGUCAGCUCGUGUCGUGAGAUGUUGGGUUAAGUCCCGCAACGAGCGCAACCCUUAAGCUUAGUUGCCAUCAUUAAGUUGGGCACUCUAAGUUGGCUGCCGGUGACAAACCGGAGGAAGGUGGGGAUGACGUCAAAUCAUCAUGCCCCUUAUGAUUUGGGCUACACACGUGCUACAAUGGACAAUACAAAGGGCAGCGAAACCGCGAGGUCAAGCAAAUCCCAUAAAGUUGUUCUCAGUUCGGAUUGUAGUCUGCAACUCGACUACAUGAAGCUGGAAUCGUUAGUAAUCGUAGAUCAGCAUGCUACGGUGAAUACGUUCCCGGGUCU
rnacentral:rRNA from 1 species